UAGGGAAUCUUCCGCAAUGGGCGAAAGCCUGACGGAGCAACGCCGCGUGAGUGAUGAAGGUCUUCGGAUCGUAAAACUCUGUUAUUAGGGAAGAACAAAUGUGUAAGUAACUAUGCACGUCUUGACGGUACCUAAUCAGAAAGCCACGGCUAACUACGUGCCAGCAGCCGCGGUAAUACGUAGGUGGCAAGCGUUAUCCGGAAUUAUUGGGCGUAAAGCGAGCGCAGGCGGUCAAUUAAGUCUGAUGUGAAAGCCCCCGGCUCAACCGGGGAGGGUCAUUGGAAACUGGUUGACUUGAGUGCAGAAGAGGAGAGUGGAAUUCCAUGUGUAGCGGUGAAAUGCGUAGAUAUAUGGAGGAACACCAGUGGCGAAGGCGACUCUCUGGUCUGUAACUGACGCUGAGGCUCGAAAGCGUGGGUAGCAAACAGG
rnacentral:rRNA from 1 species